rnacentral:rRNA from 1 species
UACGAAGGGGGCUAGCGUUGUUCGGAAUUACUGGGCGUAAAGCGCACGUAGGCGGCUUUGUAAGUUAGAGGUGAAAGCCUGGAGCUCAACUCCAGAAUUGCCUUUGAUACUGCAUGGCUUGAAUCCAGGAGAGGUGAGUGGAAUUCCGAGUAUAGAGGUGAAAUUCGUAGAUACUCGGAAGAACACCAGUGGCGAAGGCGGCUCACUGGACUGGUAUUGACGCUGAGGUGCGAAAGCGUGGGGAGCAAACAGG